rnacentral:lncRNA from 1 species
UCAUUGGGCACUGGCACGUAUAGUUGGGGUCAGUUCCUGGGUCCUGCACAGUCUCUGGCCCCUAUUGUCCCUUGUCCAGGUGCAAGUAUCUCUAGAACUGUGUGGUGCCCUCGUAGAUCUUCAGCUAGGAAAGGGAGCAGUCCUCCUGUGUGUAUCGUGUGUCUGUAGUGCAGAGCAAUAGAGUGCUCUCUAACAGUGAGCUGGGCACAAUUAGGGCGCCAGGUAGGGAGGCUUGGGGUAUGGUGGACCUUUCUGAGUACUAGUUACUACAAAGCAAAUGUAACUUUAUAAGGCCACUGUCUACAAGAAUGACUGUAAGGGGUCACACAGUGAGAAACUGGACUGUUAACAAGUAAUGGGUGAGACCUAGGUUAGGGUGCCUGGUUAGCCACACCCCAAGAUAUGAGUCAAAGAUGUAUGUUUGAAAAAUGUCCCACUAACGUCUCCCUCCACGUUCCACAAUUCUGGCCUUUGAACGUGUGGCAGUGGGUUUGGCAGACAGUGAACAUGUCUUGCUAAACCUGCUGUUUGGGCCUGGUGUACUUGCCUGCUCAGACAGUGAACGUGCUGGAAGUGACUAGACUGCAAGCUGCUGUCCUGUCUGUUCUUUACAGCUUCUUUUUGAUUUCCUGGCAUUUAAAAAUGACAUCAGUUUCUGGAAGAAAAAGAAGAGCAUGAUUGGAAUGUCUACCAAAGCAGUGCUCUGGCGUUGCUUCAGCACUGUGGUCAUCUUCCUCUUCCUGCUGGAUGAACAGACAAGCCUGCUGGUGCUGAUCCCUGCAGGUGUUGGGGCUGCCAUUG